rnacentral:rRNA from 1 species
AGGACGAACGCUGGCGGCGUGCUUAACACAUGCAAGUCGAGCGGAAAGGCCCUUCGGGGUACUCGAGCGGCGAACGGGUGAGUAACACGUGGGCAACCUGCCCUUAGCUCUGGGAUAGCUCCGGGAAACCGGAAUUAAUACCGGAUAUGACCUAGGCCGACAUCGGCCGUGGUGGAAAGUUUUUCGGCUAGGGAUGGACUCGCGGCCUAUCAGCUAGUUGGUGGGGUAAUGGCCUACCAAGGCGACGACGGGUAGCCGGCCUGAGAGGGCGACCGGCCACACUGGGACUGAGACACGGCCCAGACUCCUACGGGAGGCAGCAGUGGGGAAUCUUGCGCAAUGGGCGAAAGCCUGACGCAGCGACGCCGCGUGGGGGAUGAAGGCCUUCGGGUUGUAAACCCCUUUCAGCAGGGACGAAGCGAAGUGACGGUACCUGCAGAAGAAGCGCCGGCUAACUACGUGCCAGCAGCCGC